UUUUAUGGAGAGUUUGAUCCUGGCUCAGGAUAAACGCUGGCGGCGUGCCUAAUACAUGCAAGUCGAGCGAACGGACGAGAAGCUUGCUUCUCUGAUGUUAGCGGCGGACGGGUGAGUAACACGUGGAUAACCUACCUAUAAGACUGGGAUAACUUCGGGAAACCGGAGCUAAUACCGGAUAAUAUUUUGAACCGCAUGGUUCAAAAGUGAAAGACGGUCUUGCUGUCACUUAUAGAUGGAUCCGCGCUGCAUUAGCUAGUUGGUAAGGUAACGGCUUACCAAGGCAACGAUGCAUAGCCGACCUGAGAGGGUGAUCGGCCACACUGGAACUGAGACACGGUCCAGACUCCUACGGGAGGCAGCAGUAGGGAAUCUUCCGCAAUGGGCGAAAGCCUGACGGAGCAACGCCGCGUGAGUGAUGAAG
rnacentral:rRNA from 1 species